CCUACGGGUGGCAGCAGUGAGGAAUAUUGGUCAAUGGACGCAAGUCUGAACCAGCCAUGCCGCGUGCAGGAAGACGGCUCUAUGGGUUGUAAACUGCUUUUGUACGAGGAUAAACGCAGAUACGCGUAUCUGUCUGAAAGUAUCGUACGAAUAAGGAUCGGCUAACUCCGUGCCAGCAGCCGCGGUAAUACGGAGGAUUCAAGCGUUAUCCGGAUUUAUUGGGUUUAAAGGGUGCGUAGGCGGUCUGUUAAGUUAGAGGUGAAAUCCCGAGGCUCAACUUCGGAAUUGCCGGUGAUACGGUUAGGCUAGAGAGUAGUUGAGGUAGGCGGAAUGUAUGGUGUAGCGGUGAAAUGCUUAGAGAUCAUAAAGAACACCGAUUGCGAAGGCAGCUUACUAAGCUACUUCUGACGUUGAGGCACGAAAGUGUGGGGAGCAAACAGGAUUAGAUACCCGGGUAGUC
rnacentral:rRNA from 1 species